rnacentral:rRNA from 1 species
AGGACGAACGCUGGCGGCGUGCUUAACACAUGCAAGUCGAGCGGAAAGGCCCUUCGGGGUACUCGAGCGGCGAACGGGUGAGUAACACGUGAGUAAUCUGCCCCUAGCUCUGGGAUAGCUCCGGGAAACCGGGAUUAAUACCGGAUACGACCACCUUAGACAUCUUUUGUGGUGGAAAGAAUUUCGGCUAGGGAUGAGCUCGCGGCCUAUCAGCUUGUUGGUGGGGUAACGGCCUACCAAGGCUUCGACGGGUAGCUGGUCUGAGAGGAUGUCCAGCCACACUGGGACUGAGACACGGCCCAGACUCCUACGGGAGGCAGCAGUGGGGAAUAUUGGACAAUGGGCGCAAGCCUGAUCCAGCCAUGCCGCGUGGGUGAUGAAGCUUCUCGGAGUGUAAACCCCUUUCGACCCGGAAGAAAGCCCGCAAGGGUUUGACGGUACGGGUAUAAGAAGCCCCGGCUAACUACGUGCCAGCAGCCGC